rnacentral:rRNA from 1 species
AUUGAACGCUGGCGGCAGGCCUAACACAUGCAAGUCGAACGAGUGGCCGAUGGGUGAGUAAUGUCUGGCAAACUGACCGACUGUUGGGGAUAACUACUGGAAACGGUAGCUAAUACCGCAUCCCAUCGGAUGUGCCCCGAUGGGAUUAGCUAGUGGGUGGGGUAACGGCCCACCUAGGCGACGAUCCCUAGCCGGUCUGAGAGGAUGACCAGCCACACUGGAACUGAGACACGGUCCAGACUCCUACGGGAGGCAGCAGUGGGGAAUAUUGAACAAUGGGCGCAAGCCUGAUGCAGCCAUGCCGCGUGUAUGAAGAAGGCCUUCGGGUUGUAAAGUACUUUCAGCGAGGAGGCGUUACUCGCAGAAGAAGCACCGGCUAACUCCGUGCCAGCAGCCGCGGUAAUAC